rnacentral:rRNA from 1 species
GUGAAGGUGGCUGACCGGGGGCGGAGGGCGGCAGAGGAGGUGGCCGAGGCAAAGGGUGGCGACGGAGGUGGUCGAGUUGGCCUUCUUGCUAUUGUAAUAAACAUAGAAAUUCGCCGUUAUUUAAAUUUGAACCUCAAGUACACACUCAUCAUUAGCACCCGCACACAUCCAGGACCCAACACAAAGCUAGCUCAUGAACGCAGUGAGCCGCAGCAGGCCAUAUCGGCAAUGGAGCAGCCAGUGGCAGAGCACCGCGGGCGGCUCCGACCGCUCCGGCAGUCUGCAACAGGUCCUGUACUGGUCGCCUCCACGCUCCACAUCCUCCCAGCGACACACACAUCAGCUCCCUAG